CAAGUUAAUGGUUUAUAAGUUGGAAAACGUGAUUAGCCUCAAGUUCUAAUCUGAGUCUCUGAGAUGGGCCACACUCACUCAGCCUAUACCUUUCAUCCUUUAAAAGUUGAUUGGUACUUGAAUCGACCUCCCAACCUAAUUUGCCAAUGCUCUUGUAGAUGCCACUUGGCCUAAUAGGCAUCUCAUGAGAGCUUAAUUAGAGUUUCCAAUCAUUUUCUUUAGCCUAUUCGAUCCACCCUUGUGGCGUA
rnacentral:lncRNA from 1 species